rnacentral:tRNA from 1 species
GUGUCCUUCGUCUAGAGGCUAGGACACCGCCCUUUCACGGCGGUAACAGGGUUCGAAUCCUAGGGGACGCCA